rnacentral:rRNA from 1 species
UACGUAGGUGGCAAGCGUUAAUCGGAAUUACUGGGCGUAAAGCGUGCGUAGGUGGUUUGUUAAGUCUGAUGUGAAAGCCCUGGGCUCAACCUGGGAAUGGCAUUGGAUACUGGCAGUCUCGAGUCCGGAAGAGGUGAGUGGAAUACCUAGUGUAGAGGUGAAAUUCGUAGAUAUUAGGAAGAACACCGAUGGCGAAGGCAACCACCUGGGCCUGCACUGACGCUGAGGUACGAAAGCGUGGGGAGCAAACAGG